rnacentral:rRNA from 1 species
GACGAACGCUGGCGGCGUGCUUAACACAUGCAAGUCGAACGGAGUGGCGAACGGGUGAGUAACACGUGGGUGACCUGCCCUGCACUUCGGGAUAAGCCCGGGAAACUGGGUCUAAUACCGGAUAGUGUGGGAUGGGCCCGCGGCCUAUCAGCUUGUUGGUGGGGUAAUGGCCUACCAAGGCGGCGACGGGUAGCCGGCCUGAGAGGGUGGACGGCCACCAUGGGACUGAGGCACGGACCAGGCUCCAACGGGAGGCAGCAGGGGGGAAUAUUGCACAAUGGGGGGGAGCCUGAUGAAGCGGCGCCGCGGGGGGGAUGACGGCCUUCGGGGUGUAAACUCCUUUCGGCAUCGACGCGGUAGAUGGAGAAGAAGCACCGGCUAACUACGUGCCAGCCGCCGCGGUAAUAC